rnacentral:rRNA from 1 species
UAGGAGACUUUCAGAGAUGCUUUGGUGCCUUCGGGAACUCUGAGACAGGUGCUGCAUGGCUGUCGUCAGCUCGUGUUGUGAAAUGUUGGGUUAAGUCCCGCAACGAGCGCAACCCUUAUCCUUUGUUGCCAGCGGUUAGGCCGGGAACUCAAAGGAGACUGCCAGUGAUAAACUGGAGGAAGGUGGGGAUGACGUCAAGUCAUCAUGGCCCUUACGAGUAGGGCUACACACGUGCUACAAUGGCGCAUACAAAGAGAAGCGACCUCGCGAGAGCAAGCGGACCUCAUAAAGUGCGUCGUAGUCCGGAUUGGAGUCUGCAACUCGACUCCAUGAAGUCGGAAUCGCUAGUAAUCGUAGAUCAGAAUGCUACGGUGAAUACGUUCCCGGGCCUUGUACACACCGA